UACAGAGGUCUCAAGCGUUGUUCGGAAUUACUGGGCGUAAAGGGCGCGUAGGCGGCCUUCUAAGUCAGACGUGAAAUCCCUCGGCUCAACCGAGGAACUGCGUCUGAUACUGGAAGGCUUGAAUCCGGGAGAGGGAUGUGGAAUUCCAGGUGUAGCGGUGAAAUGCGUAGAUAUCUGGAGGAACACCGGUGGCGAAGGCGGCAUCCUGGACCGGUAUUGACGCUGAGGCGCGAAAGCUAGGGGAGCAAACGGG
rnacentral:rRNA from 1 species